rnacentral:tRNA from 1 species
UGCUCGGUAGCUUAGUUGGUAAAGCGCUCGUCUAGCAUACAAGAGUCCUGGGUUCAAAUCCCAGCCGAACAC